GGCAACAGCCAUAUCACCCUGUAGCCCAAGACUGGUUGCCCACUGAAGCUAAGUAGGGUUUAGUCUGGUCAGUACCUGGAUGGGAGACCUCCUGGGAAAACUAGGUUGCUGCUGGAA
ensembl:rRNA 5S_rRNA 5S ribosomal RNA